rnacentral:rRNA from 1 species
AUUGAACGCUGGCGGCAUGCCUAACACAUGCAAGUCGAACGGCAGCACGGUCUAGCUUGCUAGAUUGGUGGCGAGUGGCGGACGGGUGAGUAACGCGUAGGAAUAUACCUUGAUGACUGGGACAACUUGGGGAAACUCAAGCUAAUACCGGAUAAGUUCUGAGGAAGAAAGCUGGGGACCUUCGGGCCUGGCGCAUUAAGAAUAGCCUGCGUCCGAUUAGCUAGUUGGUGGGGUAAGGGCUUACCAAGGCGAUGAUCGGUAGCUGGUCUGAGGGGAUGAUCAGCCACCCUGGAACGGAGAGACAGUCCAGACUCCUACGGGAGGCAGCAGUGGGGAAUAUUGGACAAUGGGGGGAACCCUGAUCCAGCAAUGCCGCGUGUGUGAAGAAGGCCUGAGGGUUGUAAAGCACUUUCGGUGGGGAGGAGAGGUAUUGGAUUAAGAGUUAGAUACUGAGACGUUACCCACAGAAGAAGCACCGGCUAACUCCGUGCCAGCCGCCGCGGUAA